CACCGCACAGGUUCCCCAGUAAUUAGUAACACCUGGAGACGUCCGCUUAGCAGGCCUAUUUCACAGGUUAUGGGCCCAGAGUGCAGCCCCCAGCCUGAGGCUCAGAGCUCAGCCCCAAGCCCUUUCUGGGCCCUGGUGAUGGUCAGACCUGGUCCCUUGCCUGGGUGGGCUCCCGGGCUUCCUGAAGGGCUCCCAGGCCAUGGGGAUGCAGGGCUCCCGGCCUUCCGUCACUCCUGCCUCGUAGUGCGAGCUCCUCUGCCAGCCGCUUCCCUUUAGCUUUCCUCUUCCCCUGGGCUCUGCAUCCCCCAAAGGGCACAGAUGUUGGCUGAUGUAUGGGAUGGAACAGCAUCCCCCCCAAAUUCAUGUCCACCACAACCUCAGCAUGUGACCUUACUUGGAAAUGGGGUCCUUGCAGAAGUACUUAGUUAAGGUGAGGUCACGCUGGAGCACGGGGAGGCCUGGAUCGGUCGGCCGGGGUCCUUGGACGACAAGGACAGACACACAGAGAGAAGGCCGUCUGAGACAGGGCAGAGGUGAGAUGUCAAGGACUGCUGGGCACCCCCAGGAGCUGGAGCGAGGCCUGGGGUGGGGCCCCUGAGUCUCCAGAAGGAGCUAAUGCUGCAACAACUCGAUUUCAGACCUGUGGCCUCCUGAACUGUGGCAGUGAGUUUCUGUUGUUUUAAGACCCUUGGUCUGUGGUACUUAUAAUGGCAAGAGGGGACCUGAGUCCCCUUCCUGGAAACCACAAAGCCCAUGCCAGGAUGGCCAGGGAACUGCUGUGGUCCCGCAGUGAAGGCGGAGCCGCCCAGGCUGCCACUGAUAAGAAGGUUCACUGUUCCCUUGACCCUAAAAUGGGAACAACAAUCUGCCUUCACGGGAGGGCUUUGCACAUCUGAGUGAAGGAGCUCCGUCAAGCCCACCAUGAGGCCUGGCUGCAAGGGCGAUGGUGAUUCGGCAAACUGCCCAGCCCACACCCUGCACUCCCGGAUGCCCUUUGCUGAGGGUGCCUGCUGGCUGAUUGGACCAAGCCUCCUAGGCUAUUAACUAUCCAGCCAGCCCUGCCUGGCCCUGGGCAUCCGGGGGCCCCGAUGGCUGGUUUCAGAAGCAAAGAGCUCCAGCGCUGCCGGCCGGCAGGGUCUCUUCGGGGCCUGAUGCAGACACGGGCCGUCCCACCUCAUCCUCUGGCUCAGUCCCAGAGGGUGCUGGAACCUCAUGUCCUGGGCCCUGGCCCCCUGCCCCACCACAGGCAAGCUGCUGGCUGUGCUAAGAGCCUGGCCUGCAGGAAUGCUCAGCCUGGACCCGUGGCGGGUGCCCUUCCCAAUGAACUUCCUGUGAACUUGCCCUUCUCCCAGGCUCCCCUCUCUGGGGCCCUCUUUACCCAAGCCAUCGGUAUGGGGGCCCACUCGCCCUCCUGUCAGCACACACAGGCCCUGCAUCCCUGGGACAUCCCCUAACCUGGCCAGGGCGCCAAGCUCCUGAGGCUCUGCGCUGGACCCAGAGGGCUGCAGGGGCUCCUGCACCUGCCCGAGUGGCACUAGGGAUCUACCUGAUGUCUCGGGCUCCCCGCACCCUCCAGACUGGUUUGUGGCUGUAACAGGCCCUUCCUCACAGCUCCAGACUUUGCACGAUGCAGAAAGAUGAAUGCCGGCAGCCAGGCCCCCGCUUCCCUCUGCCCCCUGAUCCUUUAAUCUGAGACUAUUAAAACUUCAUUCCACUGCUAUUGGUAAACCAUCAAUCACCUUCACCAAGCAGCCUCUGGCUUUGGGAGCCCAGUGGGGGAGAGCAGCAGGGAGAGCAGAGGAGGCCACUGCCCAGGAGGGCCGGGAAGCAGGGACACACGCCCUCCCCUGGGCAGCACCGGGCCUGGGAGAGCGGCCGUGAGCUGGAGAAGGGCAGGGCUUCUGGGGUCAGACGGGAGGCAGGAGGCUCACUGCCCGUGACGGAGAACCAUCCGGGUCUCGGGAGCUGCCGCUCGGGCCCUUGUCAGUGCGGUGGCAGCAAUGCCCACGAUUGGCCUCCCAGGCACGAAGCUGCCACCUCCUUCCAGAGCUGCAGGCCUGGGCGAACCCCAUUCUCUUUGGGUCACCUCCUAACCUCCUUCCCGUCUCAGACCCCAGGCCCCGGCAGCCUCAAGCAGGAGGCACGGGGGUUCUGCGGCCCAGCCUUUAAAGUUCAACUUCGGAAGAGGCAGCACCAGCCCAGGGCUUGCAGGAUCAUGGGUCUUUUUCUUAAUUAAAAAAAAAAUCCAAUUAAAUUAAGAUAUCAGAACUAAAUAACACUCGAGUCAUUAGUGCGACUUUUAUCUUAAUGACUACAGCUGCUGACAUCUUUUAAUUCGGACAGCCUCCCGCUUCGGCGGCAGGGGAGGGUUUUCACCGGAGGGGCGAAGGCCCCGCAGAAGCGGGGCAGGGCAGCCGAGCGGACCGGGGCGCCUGCUUUUUCUCCCGCCCUGGCCCUGACCGAGGGGUGGACUCCUGCGUGUACCGGGGCUGGGGCGUCCCUUCCAUCUCAGGGACUGCGGGCACUGCCCCUCAGCCCUGGUGGACAUAAGGUCAAGGGCAACUUUGAAAGGAACAACAGUGGGUCCCUAAACACAUUUCAGUAAUUUCCCUGGGAAAGGAGCAGAGGUGCCCCGUCCUUGCUAGGGACCAGGGGAGCGGCUGCCUGGACCCCGAGGAGUUCCCUUCUCUCGGUGGAUGGAGGGUGCUUGAGUGCCCCCUCCUGGGCCCCUGGGACCUCUGUGCGGAGAGCCUCACACUGCCUGUCUCCUCCAAACCCCUGCCACGAUCCCACCUUCCUACCAUGUCCAGAUGGAAGCGCCAGCCACUCGGGUAGUGCAUCCAGCCCGGCCUGGAACAGGGGCAGCAGGCCUGGGCUCCGGCAUGGAGUGUGGGCCGGGCACAGCCCCCCAGUGGCCCCAGCGGGGCAGGGCUGGGGUGGGCAGGGUUCUGGGAAGGGGAUAAGAAGCUGUGGGAGCCCAGCGGGCCAGGGGAGAUCUGAGUCCCAGGAAGUGGCUGCGGGAACACAGGGAGCCAGGGAUGGAGGAAUCCUGGUUAUUGUUUCACCUUAGGAUUCCCGACAGACAGAGCAGGAGAGUCUGAGAGCUGAGGCCCCACAGACACUGCCGCUUCUCAGGGGGCUGAUUGGGCGCGUCCACCCGCCCCUCCUCAACCUUCCCCUCCACAGCAGCCCCAAGGAACCCCUCGAUUCUGUUCCCUCCUUUCAGAUGCACCCAGAGAAGGCCGUCCCUGGCACCCAGGCCCUGGGAAUGCCUUGUAAUGCUUUGCACCAUGAUUAUAUCAAGAAUGUGGCUGCAAGCCCCCCGAGAAUAGGGAUGGUGUCCGGCCCAUUCACCCCUUUUUUCUGUGUCUAGGCCAGAAUCUGACACACAGACACCCAAGAAAUAUGUCGCAGUUGAAUGACUCAUCGAAAGGAACCGCGGUAGAAUGGACAGAACCUUCCCACCGGGUUCCACCAUCUCACCACGAGUGUGGAUUACUGCACUGAUGGUUUUUAAAAGUAAUGGCAAUUGUACCUUUCAUUUACUUUUCUGCUAAA